AGUGAUGAUGAUUAAACCCGUUGCUGAGAGGUGAUGAGGGGACCGACUAGCUGAACA
rnacentral:snoRNA from 14 species